rnacentral:rRNA from 1 species
UACAGAGGUCCCAAGCGUUGUUCGGAUUCACUGGGCGUAAAGGGUGCGUAGGUGGCCAGGUAAGUUCGGUGUGAAAGCUCGGAGCUUAACUCCGAAAUGGCAUUGAAUACUAUCUGGCUAGAGGGUCGGAAGGGAGACUGGAAUUCUCGGUGUAGCAGUGAAAUGCGUAGAUAUCGAGAGGAACACCAGUGGCGAAGGCGAGUCUCUGGACGACUCCUGACACUGAGGCACGAAAGCGUGGGGAGCAAACAGG